rnacentral:rRNA from 1 species
AGAGUUUGAUCCUGGCUCAGGAUGAACGCUAGCGGCAGGCCUAACACAUGCAAGUCGAACGGUAAGGUCCUUUCGGGGAUACACGAGUGGCGCACGGGUGAGUAACGCGUAUGCAACCUACCUUUAACUGGGGGAUAGCUUCGAGAAAUCGGGAUUAAUACCCCAUAGUAUUCCUUUAACAUAUGUUUUAGGAAUUAAAGCUCCGGCGGUUUUAGAUGGGCAUGCGUGACAUUAGCUUGUUGGUGAGGUAACGGCUCACCAAGGCAACAAUGCCUAGGGGGUCUGAGAGGAUGGUCCCCCACACUGGUACUGAGACACGGACCAGUCUUCUACGGGAGGCAGCAGUGAGGAAUAUUGGUCAAUGGGCGCAAGCCUGAACCAGCCAUGCCGCGUGCAGGAUGAAUGCCCUACGGGUUGUAACCUGCUUUUAUACAGGAAGAACUCCUCCGACGUGUCGGGGGCUGACGGUACUGUAUGAAUAAGGAUCGGCUAACUCCGGGCCAGCAGCCGCGGUAAUACGGAGGAUCCAAGUGUUAUCCGGAUUUAUUGGGUUUAAAGGGUGCGUAGGCGGAAUAAUAAGUCAGUGGUGAAAUCCUGCAGCUUAACUGUAGAACGGCCAUUGAUACUGUUAUUCUUGAGUACAGUUGAAGUGGGUGGAAUGUGUCAUGUAGCGGUGAAAUGCUUAGAGAUGACACAGAACACCAAUUGCGUAGGCAGCUCACUAGACUGUUACUGACGCUGAGGCACGAAAGCGUGGGGAGCGAACAGGAUUAGAUACCCUGGUAGUCCACGCUGUAAACUAUGAUUACUCGAUGUAUGCGAUACAUUGUAUGCGUCUGAGCGAAAGCAUUAAGUAAUCCACCUGGGGAGUACGAUCGCAAGAUUGAAACUCAAAGGAAUUGACGGGGGCCCGCACAAGCGGAGGAACAUGUGGUUUAAUUCGAUGAUACGCGAGGAACCUUACCUGGGCUUAAAUGCAGACUGAUUUUUCUCGAAAGAGAUCUUCCCUUCGGGGCAGACUGCAAGGUGCUGCAUGGUUGUCGUCAGCUCGUGCCGUGAGGUGUCGGGUUAAUCCCAUAACGAGCGCAACCCUUGUCAUUAGUUGCCAGCGGGUAAUGCCGGGGACUCUAAUGAGACUGCCAGUGUAAACUGUGAGGAAGGUGGGGAUGACGUCAAAUCAGCACGGCCCUUAUGUCCAGGGCUACACACGUGUUACAAUGGCCGGUACAAAGGGCAGCUACCUGGUGACAGGAUGCUAAUCUCGAAAACCGGUCUCAGUUCGGAUCGAAGUCUGCAACCCGACUUCGUGAAGCUGGAUUCGCUAGUAAUCGCACAUCAGCCAUGGUGCGGUGAAUACGUUCCCGGGCCUUGUACACACCGCCCGUCAAGCCAUGGAAGCCGGGGGUGCCUGAAGUCCGUAACCGUAAGGAGCGGCCUAGGGUAAAACCGGUAACUGGGGCUAAGUCGGAACAAGAUA